UGAAAUAUAUAUUGGUACUUCAAUGAA
rnacentral:sRNA from 1 species